rnacentral:rRNA from 1 species
AGUGAACGCUGGCGGUAGGCCUAACACAUGCAAGUCGAACGGCAGCACAGUAAGAGCUUGCUCUUACGGGUGGCGAGUGGCGGACGGGUGAGGAAUACAUCGGAAUCUACUUUUUCGUGGGGGAUAACGUAGGGAAACUUACGCUAAUACCGCAUACGACCUACGGGUGAAAGCAGGGGAUCUUCGGACCUUGCGCGAUUGAAUGAGCCGAUGUCGGAUUAGCUAGUUGGCGGGGUAAAGGCCCACCAAGGCGACGAUCCGUAGCUGGUCUGAGAGGAUGAUCAGCCACACUGGAACUGGGACACGGUCCAGACUCCUACGGGAGGCAGCAGUGGGGAAUAUUGGACAAUGGGCGCAAGCCUGAUCCAGCCAUACCGCGUGGGUGAAGAAGGCCUUCGGGUUGUAAAGCCCUUUUGUUGGGAAGGAAAAGCAGCAGGUUAAUACCCCGCUGUCCUGACGGUACCCAAAGAAUAAGCACCGGCUAACUUCGUG